rnacentral:rRNA from 1 species
GACGAACCGUGCGAACGUUGUUCGGAAUCACUGGGCUUAAAGGGCGCGUAGGCGGCCAUUCAAGUCCGGGGUGAAAUCCUCCAGCUUAACUGGAGAAGUGCCUCGGAUACUGGACGGCUCGAGCGAGGUAGGGGCAGCUGGAACUUCCGGUGGAGCGGUGAAAUGCGUUGAUAUCGGAAGGAACGCCGGUGGCGAAAGCGGGCUGCUGGACCUCUCCUGACGCUGAGGCGCGAAAGCCAGGGUAGCGAACGGGAUUAG